UCAGAAGAGACUACAAAGAAGCAUAAAAUGAAUAGACAAUACAACCAGCCAAAGGUAAUUUAAAUUUUUACAUUUGGUAAAAUAAAAAUGACGUACAAAGUCCAAAUAGAAUAUCAUUUGCUGGGUGGUAGGUCUGUAGUGUAUUGCAUAUGUCCCAGUUCAUGCAAUAGGUACAGUUCCAGAAAAAUCUAAGUUUCCAUAUGUGCAGUUUUUUCCCCUGUAUGUAGCCUUUGUAUACUAUAUAUCAAGGAUAAUGCAAACAUAACCUGUAACUGCCUAUAAAAAAUGAAAUUCGGGAUACAGAAGACAUAAUAGGACACUUUUUUUAGAAAGUAAGCCAGACAAGUACCUUGCCUGAACUAUACAAAUCACUGUAAAUUAAAUGGCUUUUAUGUGGAAAAUGGUAGUGUUGACUGUAUUAGUGGACUGUGGUUUACACACAUAAGAAUCUACAAACUCAGUGUUAAAAAGGGAUUUCAGAAAUAGGCCAAUUUUUUAUAUACCAUGCAGUAGUCUGAAUAGGAUUCAGAGAGGUAUUAUAAAUAUUAGUACCAAACCUGAUUAUUUGCAUUUAUGGAAUAGCAUGAGUCUGAUACAAAUAUGUGGAAAAUCAUAACUUUUCACUUCUGACUUAAGCAGAGAUUGUUUAUUCCCAAGAAAACCAGGAUGUUUCAAUUCAUGUUUCAGCCAUCUGGAGACCUAUAAAAAGAUGAGAAAACAAGCAUGACAAUCAUGUCCUAAUCUACUGGCCAUUAAUGGGAAUUUAUUAGAGAAUGAGCAAGCAAGCCAUUUGAAUUCAGUACAUCCUUCAAUAUGCAGAUUUCAAAAAGGGUAUUCUGUAGCUCAGAUAAAUAGCUUUCUGAAA
rnacentral:lncRNA from 1 species